GAGGGUGCACAUAGAAACAGGAGAAGAGGGUAGGAAAAAAAGGGAGAGAGUAAAUAUAAUGGUUGUUAACUGCAGGAGUAUCCUAAACAAAGUGGACAAGUUCUGGACAGUGGUUGAGCUCUAUGGGGCAGAUAUAGUGGUGGCAGUAGAGACAUGGCUGGAUGAGGAUGUUGCAGACAAUGAAGUAAGGAGAGGAAGUUACAUAUUUUUCAGAAGGGAUAGAAACAGGAGAGGGGGUGGGAUAAUGGUUCUUGUAAGGGGGGAGUUGGACGCAGAAGUCAAGUGGAAGGGAGGAAAGGAAGAAAUACUUCAUCUGGAGAUCUCAGGGAAGAAGAGGAAAAUGCAGCUGUUUGCGGUGUACAGGCCGUCGGGUGAUGGGGGUACAGAGGUGGAGGCUGUACUCGAAAGGCUUUAUAGGCUGAAGGAGGACAGCAUGGUAGUUGUAGCAGGUGACCUCAACCUUCCAGGGGUCAAAUGGCAGUGUGGUAAAGAACUGGUGGGGCCACUGGGACAACGGAGGGCAACUAAACUGGUGAACAUGGGGUUACAACAAGUGGUGGUAGAGGAAACUAGGAUGGGUGGGGGAGCUGGCGCUUCAAUAUUGGAUGUAGUGCUGGUAAGACCCGAGGAGCUAUAGCCCGUCCCACUCUUAGAUUGCAGUACACGGCUUAUGGCGCGCGCUGUUGCCAAAUCUCUAACACAUUACGAAUUUCAGGAGAUGCGUGUCUUUGUCAUUUGGAUCGAACAAGAAGCAUUUUAAGAACUCAUAUCGUAAUUUAUAAUAUUUUAUACUAUUACACAUAUAAAUUUGUAAUAAUGCCACUUUUAUGUAAAUUUCAAUUAAAAACUACCUAUUGUAGACAAAAUUUUCUUAUAGUUUUCUUUUCUAUUCUAAAAAUCCCAUUAUAUAUAUAUAUAUAUAUAUAUAUCACAUUUUCAUGGGCCUGAUAAAUGCCGUAUUUUUGGACAAGUCGUGUCCAAAAUGAUAAAUAAAAUACGGUAAUGGAAAUUCUCGGUCAAGUAAGUUAUGGGAAAAAUCCGAACAAUUGGUUCGAAAUGGGGAAGAUUUUUUGAAAAACAGAAAAAUCACAACAACUCCCAUAAUAUGAAUAAUAUCGAAUCCGUUUUAACGUAUGAUAACUCGGAUUACCUAAUGCCGAAAAAUGUUUUCUAAAUACAUUUUUGAUACGACCAGCCAUAACUGCAUGGGUUCGAAAAAAAUUUUCACCGGACAAAAAAACGUAACUGCCUUAGUAGACACCUUAUCAAAUCUGUUUAAAUUGUUUGUAAUAAUAUCAUAAUUAUUUUCCAAAACUUUGUCUAAAACAAUGUUUGAUAAGAUGCUUCGUGAGAAGGAUAGAAAAAUAAUUCAAAAUUUUGUACCAUGAUCGCUAUUAAAUUCCUUCGUAUUUAUUUCAUACAUUUUAAAUAUUAUGUUCAAGAAUCGAUUAUAAUAUUUUUUGUUGACUAAGGAAGCCAUGUAUUUGAAAUUGCUUGUAGGACAGAACCCCACUUAUCUAAACACACGACCCUGUUUCCUCUUACGACGGCAGCGCGCGCUCUUGUACUGAUAAGACACAUCUUUAACAGCUAUUUCCACGGAAACUGUAGAAGCAAUUGAGAUGGAGCUGCUUUUAAAAACUAAUUCAAUUCAUUGUGAACAUUUUUCUCGCUUUCGUCCCCCAUCUAUCUUUAAUAGAAAAAAAAUUUUCCGCGGGUCAACUUUUUGAUGUGUCAGUUUGUGAGAAAAUGCAUUUCAGUAUAUUAAAAAAAUUAUUUAAGUGAAACCUGUACAGUUUUUGUCUUAACAUUUGUUCGGUGGCGUCCUAAGGCAUUAAUUUACUAAUAAAAAAAUCUGAAUGAAAUACACAUGUAGGUUUUCUUUUUCUGAUGUGAAACAUAUUAGAAUACUUCAAAACAGUUCGCAGCGAAUAAGUUAUGUUUUUUAAUUUUUUCGGACACUUAAAAUAUUGUUAAGGAUUCAAAAUAAGCAUUGCCUGAUGCGUAUUUUGAUUCUAUACAAUAUGAAAAAAAGCUUGGUCCAAAAAUUAAAAUUUUAAAUUUCGUUUGAUAUUUGGCAACAACGAACGAAGAAACAAGGACAGUGCUAACGGCAAUCGGCGUGUGUUAGAGAGAGAAUGCGCCCAUUUACUUCCAUACUGCAAUCUAAGAGUGGGAUGCUCUAUAGCCACUCACUCUAAAGUGGUGGAUGGGAUAAGCGACCACGAUAUUCCCGUUGUGGAGAUUUGCCUGGACAAGAAGGUCAUGAAAGGCAGCAGCAGGCAAAUAUGGUUGUAUGGGAGGGCAGUACAGACAAGGGUGCAGGAGUUUCUGGAAGAGAAAUUCUACCAAUGGAGCAUAGGCAUCGAUGUGCAGGAACUGUGGAGGGAUUUCAAAAAGGUGGUGGGAGAUGCUCAAGAGCAAUAUGUACCUAAAAAGAGGAUUAAUGUGGGAGGGGACCCACCUUAUCAUGGAAGGGAAAUUCGGAAACUAAAGAGGAAGGGUAGACUGUUAUAUGCGCUGUGGAAAAAGGAAGGAAAGAAGACAGUAACAGAGGAGCUGAAAGAAAUAGGAAAGCAACUGAAUAGAGAGAUAAAGAAGGCGAAGGAGGCCUAUCUCGGGGACCUGAUGGUACAGGGGACAAAAGGCAACUGGCAAAAGCUAUACGGGUUUGUUAGAAGCACGAAGGGCACAGGGACAGGGGUACCAAUUUUGAGGAAUCAGGAAGGUGAAAUUGCAGCGGGAUCCAAGGAAAAGGCAAACUUGUUGGCCAUGCAGUACAUGUCAGUGUUCGAGAAGGGAAAACAGUGGGAAAGGAAACAUGCUGAGCAUAGUACAGGGCGACACGAGAAACGGCUGAUCAGGAAGGAAGAAAUUGAGAAAGUAGUGAAAAGGUUAGACAGCAGGAAAGCCAUAGGUAAGGAUGGCAUAGGGAAUGGGAUGAUAAAGCUGGGGGGGGGGGGGGCAAGCCAAGGUGAAGUACCUGGAGCUGUUAUUCAGUAGAUCGCUGCAGGAGCGCAAAUUGCCGCAAGAAUGGAAGGAGGCGGUGGUGGUAACUAUACACAAGAAGGGGGGUAGCAAAGAGGACCCAGCCAGCUAUAGACCAGUUAGCAUCACGUCGGCAGUAGGCAAGGUAAUGGAGAGGUUAGUGCACAGGCAUGUAGUAGGGGAACUGGACAAAAGGCAGUGGAUUGACAGGAGACAGCAUGGAUUUCGGAGGGGAUAUUCAUGUGAAACUCAGCUGGCUGGCCUGUUGGAGGAGCUGGUGGAGGGGGUAGAUAAUGGUCUACAGAUAGAUGCCUGUUUCAUCAAUUUUGAAAAAGCAUUUGAUAAAGUUCCUCACGAAAAAAUGAUGAAAAAAGUGGAGGGAGCUAUAAGUGACAGGAGGGUGGUGGGUUGGAUUGGUGACUUCAUAAGCAACAGGACACAGAGGGUACGUGUGGAGGAGGAGUUGUCGGAAGGGUUACGUCAGGGGUGCCGCAGGGCAGUGUGCUUGGCCCACUUCUCUUCACUAUAAUGAUGAAUGAUAUAGGUGAGGAGAUAAAAGGGCAUAUCAGGCUGUUUGCAGAUGACUGCGUGGUAUACAUGGAUGCGGAAAUAAAUGGGCUACAGGAUGAUCUGGAAAGUCUGGAAGAGUGGGUGGAAAAUAAUGGUAUGAAAAUAAAUGUGGGAAAGACAAAAGUGGUCAGGUUUACCAGGAAGAGGAAGAUUGUCAGGAGGGAAUAUCGCUGGAGGGGAGACGUGAUAAGUGAGGCCGACAGCUAUAAAUAUCUAGGGGUGGUGCUGCAGGGUAACCUGGGGUGGGGGGAGCAGGUAGACAAGGUAGUCAAGAAGAGCAGACAGGCCCUGGGCAUGCUGGGACGAGUGCUCAGGGGGGGAAGCAGCAGCAUACGUGACAAGGCCUAUAAAACUAUGGUCUGCCCCAUGCUGGAGUAUGCCGCAGCAGUGUGGGACCCAUACACGGCAGUACUUGAGAGGGAGCUGGAGGGGGUGCAGAGGAGAGCAGCUAGAUGGGUGAAGGGCAAGUGGAGGAGAAUGGACAGAGAAGGGAAGGGGGAGUGCAGUACCACAGAGAUGAUGAUAGGAAUGAGAUGGGAGAGCUUAAAGGAUAGAAGACAGGAGAGAUUUGUCAAGAUGUACCAGGUGCUGAGUGGAGUGGGAGGAUGGGGAGAGCUGGGGGGAAAAGUCAAAAUGGGAAUGACUAGAAGUAGGAAGGAAAAUACUAGGAAGGUUUUCAAAGAGAGGAGGUGGAGGACAGAAAGGGGAAAGAAUGCAAUGGUCGUGAGGACGGUAGGGGAAUGGAAUAGGCUGGAGGAGGAGUGUGUGGUGGCUGGGAGUGUGGACCAGUUCAGAAGAAGAGUGCGGGGAAAGUAGGGAGAAUGCUUGCCACCGGGCACUUUGUACCCAAUUGCAGCUAUAUAUAAUAAUAAUAAUAGAAGAGAAUCGCUUCACGCAAAUUUUCUGGCAUGAGCGAUGAAAAAAUUUAGCUGAAAAUAUGCAGUUUUCAUUUCACUGCAGAUUCUUUCAGCCUUGGGACUAAAUGCUUAAAUGCUAAUGCAGUUCCCACCAUUCUGUUACCGGGUUCAUCAGAGGAAGUGUGUUUCAACACUUCCGGCAAUGAGAAUUCUGAGAUACAACUUGUGUUUCAUGAUCACACAUAUUCAACUGUUGGCUUCAACAGUGCGACUGGCAAGCUGAACCAUGACCUAAUCCCAACAUGUGACAAUAUAGUGACGAGCCUAAUUCAAUCAGAUUCAACUGUUAGCUUGAACAAUGUUGCUACCAAUACCAACAUGUGACCAAAUUGUGACAUCGCCAAUGCGAUCAGGCAACACAAGUGAUAUUCCAUUGUCAAGAAAUACACCAGUUGCUGAAGAAAAAUGUGAACCUUCGAAAAAAGGAUGGUAGACCGCGCGCGACCCCUCCCGAGAUGAGCUGCUCAAGCCCAGCGCUGGUGGUGUUGCCGCGCCGUCCCUCACCUGGCCGUGGCGCGGAGUUCUCGGUGACGCGCGGCGACGAGGGAGUCGUGGACCGGAGCUCGCAGGUCUCGGGAACUCACGGAGAAGUUCCUGUUUGCGGGACUGGACACGCCAAAAGGCGGGGUUACGAAUUGCAACAGCAAGGCUGAGUUUAUAAACCAGGAAAGUGUUGCAACAACGCGUCACGUUCGUUGCAAAUAUUUGAUUUAAAAGGGUAUCCUUUUUACUAUGCAAAACUUAUACAGGUGAAAAAUGUGAUGUGUAUAAAUACAAAUAAUAUGCACAUAACAUGCACACAAUAUCUGCAUCUUUGAAAGUUUUUGGAACACUUCACUUCAAACAGGGAAGGAGAAUAAAAAGAUGGAAUGCAAAUAGUUGGAAGUUGGUUGAUGCUUGCAUUGCUGUGCGUAAUUUUUAAACUUGGCCUAAGGCAGUUGAAUAAUUUGCAUCCACUUUAUUUUUUUGUUACAGGCGGUACCAGGUGGAGUGAGUUGAGGUGAUGACUGGACUGCUUGGGAGGGAGAAGGAACCUUGAGUGCCCCACUCCUAAUUAUCUGGAAAGGAAUUUUUAAAGGAUGCUACAGUGCUGCAAUUUUUGUUAUGUUGGAAAUUACAUCGAAUUCUUUCCAGUGAUUUCGAUCAAAUACAACAGGAAUUGUGAAAUUAUGUAUAAACAUUUAGAAUGUUAGUAGUGUGUUUUUCAGUAUACAGACAAAUCUUACUAAUACCAAAAUAAAGGGUCCGUAAAUAUGGCACUUUCUUAUUAUGAUUUUAACUUUGUGAUUAACAAAUUUUAAUAAUUUGUAAAGACAAUCAAAUUAAAGUUAUAAAUAUUAUACACAUUAUCAGAAGAUAAAUUUUAAGCAGUAAUAAAAUAUGUAAUUUUUGUACUGUACUACUCUUAACAACAUAUACGUAAGUUUAAAUUACCUACAAAGUAACAUAUCUUUAUUUUGAAUUACUAUAUACUUCCUAAGAUGUUUCUUCAUCGUACAUUGAACUAGAAUAUGGCAUAAGUAUUAUUUUAGUUGAAAAAGAAAUAGUGGCUUAUAAUUUUGUGAUAUUUGUACAAACAUUUAAUGUUUUUCCAGGGGGCAAAAUAACUUUUGUUUUACACGUUAAGAAAAAUAUUUUUUACUAAAUCUGCUUAGCACUAUAACUCAUAUGUAAUUUCUAGGGGCUGUGAAAACAUUUUGUAUUAAGGAGUUUAGUAUUAAGGUAAUGAGGUUUAACUGAAGUACUAUUGUGUACUUAUUUUUGAGUAAAGUGGUUUCUUAAAUUGAAAUGUACAAAAUUUAAAAUUCAUAGUAGUUAACUGCAUUCUAUGUAUUGCCUGCUGGAAAAUCAUUCAGGCUGUCUCGCGUGUGUAGAAUGUUACAGAAUAUUACAUAUUGUUUAAAUUAUUGUUUGUUAGUUUUUCAAAUUUGGUUUUAUUUUGAAAUUAUUUUUGAAUUGUUUAUUGUGUUGUUUAAAUUGAUUACAGUGUUUUAUCACAGUUAUAACUCACAUAAAUGUGGCAUGAUGUUUAUGGUCCUACUGUUAGAUUCUUGGUCUAGGUUGUAUACAUGACAGGAUAAAGCACCGUUCAACAGCAUUCAGUUUUCAAGUUGCUGUCGGGCAGUUUGGUAGUUAAAAUGGAAAAAUAUAGUAUUACAAUUAAAAUGAACUGGCACAAUAUGAAUUUCUAUCCGAUAUGGUCAAUGUUUUUUAGUCUUGCCCUUUGCUCAAUAUAUGUAACUUUUACUGUGUAAAAUGCUGCCCAAGAUGCAUUCUUUCCCAUAUAAAACUACUGUCUUUUAAAGUUAAAAUCUAUAUUUAGUUAUGCUUUCCAGCUCAUGUUAGGGUUACAGUUUUUUUCUCUCUAUUUAAAGUUGAACUAAAUAGGGGUUUGUUGCAUGAUUUGCUUUUUAAUUAAACGUAUAACCAUGCAAUGUGUUAAAUUAUGAAAAACUUUUCAAUUGAGAUGUUAAUAUAAAAUGUGUGAAUAUUAUGUGAUAAAACACUAUGGUUAAGAGUAAUGGUACAUUUGUAACACGUGUGGUCUGCCAAGCAUCUAAUGUGUGUAUUCAUGAAGUAUUUUAGACUUGGUGUUCUAUGAGUAGUUGAUAAAUUAAGUCUUUAUAAUACUUAUUUGAUAAUGAAAAUGUUCACAGAAAUCAUUUUUUUUAAUAUUCUAAGAAAUUCCUUAUUAAUUUAUGUUCACUUGUGUAGUAUAAAUAAAUAUAAAUUUUGUUUUGAACAGGAAA